AAAAAGUGCAGAACAAAGAGAUCAGGAGAAUAUUGGGCAAAAAGUGCAGAACAAAGAGAUCAGGAGAAUAUUGGGCAAAAAGUGCAGAACAAAGAGAUCAGGAGAAUAUUGGGCAAAAAGUGCAGACAAAGAGAUCAGGAGAAUAUUGGGCAAAAAGUGCAGAAUAAAGAGAUCAGGAGAAUAUUGGGCAAAAAGUGCAGAACAAAGAGAUCAGGAGAAUAUUGGGCAAAAAGUGCAGAACAAAGAGAUCAGAAGAAUAUUGGGCAAAAAGUGCAGAACAAAGAGAUCAGGAGAAUAUUGGGCAAAAAGUGCAGAACAAAGAGAUCAGGAGAAUAUUGGGC
rnacentral:lncRNA from 1 species